CCGGAGCGACGCCGCCAGGCAGGGCUGGGCUCGGGUCUGCCACCGCACAAAGGGACCGCUGCACCGGGAGGCCAGCAGAUGCCAACAGACAGCUUUUAAUGAAUUAUUCUGCCUUAGAGAAGAACCUCACUGACCACCAAGGUAACCAGAGAUAGAUUUUAAACCACAAAGCCUGAUAAUGCUCCAAAACUAAUUCAUGAGACUCCCCACAGCAUAUCCUAUUUUCUAUAAAUAAAGGAAAUUUUUUCAUUGUCAGGUGUAAAAAUCUGUAAACUAUUUCAUCACCUUUGACUACAUUUAUCAGCAACAAAAUCUGAAGCUGGCAAGGAUGUGGACAUCAACAGGCCAGCAAAUGCAAGACCACACGGGGAUGCUUCGUUUAUUUUCAGACCCCAAGCUAAAACUAACUUGUCAAGCUUUUAUCACACUGACCAGCUAUAGCAAAAUUUUGAAGAAGACCAGCUGUAUAUUUGGCCUCUACCUCAUCUUCCAACAGCUUAUUUUCCUCCUUCAUCUCUCUUUAAGCACCCAAUAUCCCUAAGCCAGCCAUCACCAUCUAUAAAUAGGUUCUCCUUGGCCACUUGCUUCGAGAGACUGGAACUCUACCAUCACCCUGAUCUGGAUAACUGUCUUCUCUGUCUCUGCAUUUGUUGGAUGAUAAGCCAUGGUCCUGCCAAGAAGAGGAUCCUAUUUAGCAUACUUUCUUCUUUCACUCAGAAAUAUGUUAUGGCCAUUACUGUUUUGAACAGCUGCAUGAUUGUUUGAAAAUAAGAAUGACUACUGUGUUUAAAGCAGGAGCAAAAUUCUCCAAGCAGGAUCAAGUUUGCAUCUUGCAGAGGCUGAACCAUCUGUUGAAGUCCAAGGCUUGGCUGUUUUCCACUUGGAACAUAAGGCCAGCCCGGUUGAAAAGGAAUGUGAGUUCUUCUUAUAGUGUGAUCACCCCAUUAAGCAGAGGGAGCCCUGCAAGUCCCUUGCAAUCCUAAACCAACCAGCACUUCCUGAACACCUGCCCUGAAUGCACAUGUUCCCUACAUGAGUGACAAGGAAAAUGGCAGAGCCUCAAAUUCAGCUGGCAACGUCCACAUCCCUGAACUUGGCCAGUCCGAAUGCAGAGCCUGACGCGAUUCUGCAUGAGCACAAGUUGUGGAAAGGAAAGACACUUCCACGCAUUCACAUAUUCUAUGGGCCUUUCAUUUUAUGCAUUUAGGCAAUGUGGGAUUGUCUUUCAGAACAUUACAGAAAGAAGUCUUCGAGUCUCUCAUCUUACCUAGGAGUUGAAUUGACCUGGAUUAGGCAGCUACUUUUUGCAUUCAGUCCUUCUGUAGAGUCAUAUAAGUACUUAAGCAUGCCAUUUUCUACUAGAGGAUAUAAAAAUGAAUGAACAGUUAAGGUAUAUAUUAUAUACAUGUGGUGUUUAUUAUAAGGCUCAUUUACAACAUCCUAAAUAAAUAUAAAUACUCUCAAGGAAUUUUAGAAAAUUGGAAAAUAUUUUCCUGAAAAGACAAAUAUUGAAGUCAAUUAAUAGUUUGUCCAGAAAUGAAUAAUGGAUAAAACAAAAUUCAAAGACAGACAAGGUUAAAGAAGGGUUAAUUAAUAAAAAAAGGGAGAAGGUCUAUUAAAAUAACUUAGGAGGAAUUUUUUUUUUAAGACUACAUUCCAAAGGUUAGAAGUGAUGGACUUGUUAGCAAAGUAAUGUGGAUAUCAAAUUGUUCAGCAAAACAAUGUGGUCUUGAAUUUUGGGGCGUGUUUCAUUCUUGAGAUCAAGGAAAAUCUUUUUAAUUUAGUGAACUUCAAUGAAAGGUAAGGGAAAAUGAAAUGGGUCUGGAAGUGAAUGAACAGUCUUGGUUUCAGAAAGGCAUUUCUCAGAAUCUUUCAUGAUAUUCUUGUAGAGCAAAUGGAGAACUAAGGGAUGGGCGAUGAUACAGUUUGGUGGAUUUAUAGUUGAUUUAAUCAAAGAGGCCAAAGGGGCAUCAUAUCAAUGUUACGUGAGGACAUUCUUUAAAGGAGAGUUUGAUGGCUGCAGAUUUGGCCUUGCAACACAGAAAUUUGCUUCUCAGGCUUGUUACAUACACAAAAAUCAGGAUUCAAAAAGAUCUCUAAAGACCAAACAGAUGGACAGAAAUAAACGAAAUGUAAUGCCAAUAAACAGCAAUAAAAUCCUGCAUUUAAGUUAAAAAAAUCCACAGAAAAAUACCCAACUUAGUUUAUUAAAUUUAUCUGGGAAAAUGUAUACUCUCUUACAAACACACCCCCUUGGUGUUUUAGUUGAUUUUCAGGGGAAAAUGAGUCAAGAGUUUGAGCCAGCUAAUGAACUAGCUAAUGAGAUCUUAAUUUAUACUAACAGAAGUAUGGCAUCCAGAUUAAGGGAAAUAAUCAUCCCAAUAGCCCCUUCCCUGGUCAGUCCACAUCUGGAGUUGUAAUUCUGUGUGCAGCUCUGGGGAAGCCAGGCUGGGCCGAGGGGUAAUGGAGAACAGGCAGAGGUCAGCAAUGAGGGAGAUGGAGGGGAUGAUUGGAGGGGGUGCCUGGGAAAGCAGGCUAAUGAGAAU